rnacentral:lncRNA from 1 species
UUCCAGAAAACAACAAUACCUUCCUUAUGAAAACUAUAUAGCACCACCCGGGCUAAUGCUCCGCUAUGUAGGAUCCCCACACUUAAGUUAAACUUUAACCACAAUUUUUUUGAUGGCUCAAGGCGCGUUAGAGGAGGACACGGGGGUGGUGCCGAAGCGGCGGAGGAGAGUUGUAGCGCGGCGGCGUGUGCUUUUGAUCCAGAUCAGGAGGAGGGGACUCACGGGAGGGGGCAAGUCAGGCCGUGUGGGGUC